GCCAUAGCUCAGUAGUAGAGCAUCAGCUCUGCACUCAGAAGGACCCAGGUUCAAUUCCUGGCAUCUCCA